UCCAUCCCUCGUUGAUUUGGAAAUAAUGUCAGAUAUGUUCGUUUCUGAAAUAUAUAAUGGAAAAUUAAAAGGUUGUUUCUUGCAAAUCGCUGCAUGGCAUAUGGCAUUUAAAUCGCAUGAAUCCCUUCAUGCUUCAGUAUAUUUUAGUGUUGGUCAAUAAAAUGCAUAACCCUGGAUUUUGUUGCAACAACCUUAACAGGCACUAAUGAUGGCAAUACGGAACAACUUCUGGGUUGACAAAUACCCCAAUUUGAAGCGUUAGCCAAUUUGUGGCAAUGUCCACAAUUGAUUUAGAUUUGCGCUCAGUGCAGCCGCACACUUUGGAUUAGCCAAGUAUUCAUUGCAUUAUUGGCAUUAAUUGCUCAGCCAGCAAAAACCGCACCACAUUCCUCCUUCGAGAGUAUUUCAUUUUAUUUCAAUAUUUGACAAAUGCAUUUAUAAUUGCUGGCCGCAGAUAAAAUCCAAUGUGCCAUCGUCAUCGUCUUCCGUGCAGUUUGUAAUUGGAACUCUGAUUUAACAGGCAAAUUCCAAACUGCACUGCCGUCCUGUGGUUGGCCAAAAGCUAUCGACUACCAAACUAUCGCUUAUAUAUGUACAUUUAAUCUGAAUAUUAUUGAUAAAUAACUAAAGUGCAGCAAGCCCAGAGGAGGAUGUAUUUUACUAAAA